rnacentral:rRNA from 1 species
AUUGACCGCUGGCGGCAGGCUUAACACAUGCAAGUCGAGCGAGCGGCGGACGGGUGAGUAAUGUCUGGGAAACUGACUGAUGGAGGGGGCUCACUACUGGAAACGGUAGCUAAUACCGCAUACCAUCAGAUGUGCCCCGAUGGGAUUAGCUAGUAGGGGGGGUAAGGGCUCACCUAGUCGACGAUCCCUAGAUGGUCUGAGAGGAUGACCAGCCACACGUGAACUGAGACACGGUCCAGACUCCUACGGGAGGCAGCAGUGGGGAAUAGUGCACAAUGGGCGCAAGCCUGAUGCAGCCAUGCCGCGUGUGUGAAGAAGGCCUUCGGGUUGUAAAGCACUUUCAGCGAGGAGGCGUUACUCGCAGAAGAAGCACCGGCUAACUCCGUGCCAGCAGCCGCGGUAAUUC